rnacentral:lncRNA from 1 species
UUUAGUGUUUAGGGUUGGUAGAGUUUUAGCGUUAGAUGGGAUUUAUGGUUAGGUCUAGGUAGGGUUUUAGGGUUAGGUUUAGGCAGGGUUUAGGGUUAGCAAGGUUUAGGGUUAGGUAGGGAUUAGGGUUAGAAAGAGUUUAGGGUUAGGUAAGGUUUUUAGGGUUAGGGAGGGGGUUAGGAAGGGUUUAGGGUUAGAAAUGGUUUAGGGUUAGUAGGGUUUAGGGUAAGGUAGGGUUUAGGGUUAGGUAGGGUUUAGGGUUGGGUAGGGUUUAGGGUUGGUAGGGUUUAGGGUUAGGUAGGGUAUAGGGUUAGGUAGAGUUUAGGGUUAGGUAGGGUUUAGGGUUAGGUAGGGUUUAAGGUUAGUAGGGCUUAGGGUUAGUAGGGUUUAGGAUAAGGUAGGGUUUAGGGUUAGUAGGGUUUAGGGCUAGAAAGGGUUUAGGGUUAGAAAUGGUUUAGGGUUGGUAGGGUUUAGGUUUAGGCAGGGUUUAGGUUUAGGUAGAGUUUAGGGUUAAAAAGGGUUUAGGGUUAGGUAGGGUUUUUAGGGUUAGGAAAGGUUUAGGGUUAGGAAGGGUUUAGGGUUAGGAAGGGUUUAGGGUUUGUAGGGUUUAGGGUAAGGUAGGGUUUAGGGUUAGGUAGGGUUUAGGGUUGGGUAGGGUUUAGGGUUGGUAGGGUUUAAAGUUAGGUAGGGUUUAGGGUUAGGUAGGGUUUAGGGUUAGUAGGGUUUAGGGUUAGUAGGGUGUAGGGUUAGAUAGGGUUUUGGGCUAGAAAGGGUUUAGGGUUAGAAAGGAUUUAGGGUUAGAAAAGUUUUAGGGUUAAGUAGGAUUUAGGUUAGGUAGGGUUUAGGGUUAGUAGGGUUUAGGGUUAUGUAAGGUUAGGUAGGGUUUAGAAUUAGGUAGGUUUAGAGUUAGCAUGGUUUAGGUUUAGAAAGGGUUUACGGUUAGUAGGGUUUAGGGUUACUAGGAUUUAGGGCUAGAAAGGGUUUAGAGUUAGGUAGGGUUUAGGGUUAGGCAUGGUUUAGGGUUAGGUCAGGUUUAGGGUUAGAAGGGGUUUAGGGUUAGGUAGGGUUUAGGGUUAGAAAGGGUUUAGGGUAGGUAGGGUUUAAAGUUUGGUAGGGUUUAGAAUUAGGUAGGGUUUAGGGUUAGGUAGGGUUUAGGGUUAGGUAGGGUCUAGGGUUAAAAAGGGUUUAGGGUUAGUAGGGUUUAAGGUUAGUAGGGUUUAAGAUUAGAAAGGGAUUAGGGUUAGAAAGGUUUUAUGUUAGGUAGGGUUUAGGUUAGGUAGGAUUAGUAGGGUUUAGGGUUAUGUAGGGUUAAGGUUAGGUAGGGUUAGUAUAGGGUUAGUUAGGGUUUAGGGUUAGGGUUAGGUAGGGUUUAGGGUUAGGUUUUAGGUAGGGUUUUAGGGUUAGGAAGGGUUUAGGGUUAGGUAGGGUUUAGCGUUAAAUAGAGUUUAGGGUUAGGUGGGGUUUACGUUUAGGGUUAGGUAGGUUUACAGUUAGAUAGGUUUAGGGUUUAGGGAUUAGGGUUAGGUUUAUGUAGGGUUUAGGGUUGGAUAGGGUUAAGGUCUAGGUAUAGGUAGGGUUUAGGGUUAGGUUGGAUUUAGUGUUUUGGUAGUAGAAAAGGUUUAGCGUUUAGUUUAGGUUGGGUUUAAGGUUUGGUUUAAAAUAAUGCUUAGGAUUAUAGGGUUUAGGUAGGGGUGUCAAAAUGGGUUGAAAUUAAUGGGUUGACCCAAACCAAACCAAUCCAUGGUUCUAAUGGGUUAACAAUUUGGAUGUUAAUGGAUAAAUGGUUUUUAUGGGUUAAUGAGUUUAGUGAGCUGGAUUAAUAUUGGUUUGGAUCAAAAUGGUUUAUGGAUUAUCCAAUCCAACCCACUUUUUCUCACAUAAUUUUUUAGUCUCUCUCUCUUUCUUCUCUCACGAGACGCUCUCUCUUUCUCGAUCUCACGAGACCUUCAUCAUCGAUCACGACAUCGAUCAACCCUUUUGGGUCAUUGCUUUUGGGUUAUCGAUCGCAACACAUCAACUCAUCUUCCUUGUGAGUCAAACUCUAUUUUUUUUUCAAUUUGGCUUUAUGGGUCAUUGAUUUUGCUGAUUUGGGAUCAAUUUUGAAGUAAUUUUUUUCUGGGUUUGAAAGUGACUUUCAUGGAAGGAUUGUCUCAUUGUUUGGUUUAUUUAUUUGUAUUGAUGUACCUUUGUUCUUCUUGAGUGAUGAUUGAAGCUAUUCAUGUUUAGUAGCCGAGUCUCUUUGUGAUGUUUUGAUUGUAGAAUGAGUUUUGAAUGUAUUUCUUCUAAGAGAUUUUAAGAUAUGAGUUUGCACUCAAAUGGUUGAUUUUGUGUUUUAGGUGAAACAAUGGACAGACAUAACAAGAGAAGUGAACGAAAUGAUGAAGUGGCUCGAUUGGAAUUAGAGACUUUUGUUUGUGUUCUAUUACCAAACGACCAUAGUUCUUGUUAAUGUGUAAUGGUGGAGACUAGAGAGGAUUGAUUUUGCUGAUUUGGGAUCAAUUUUGAAGUAAUUUUUUUCUGGGUUUGAAAGUGACUUUCAUGGAAGGAUUGUCUCAUUGUUUGGUUUAUUUAUUUGUAUUGAUGUACCUUUGUUCUUCUUGAGUGAUGAUUGAAGCUAUUCAUGUUUAGUAGCCGAGUCUCUUUGUGAUGUUUUGAUUGUAGAAUGAGUUUUGAAUGUAUUUCUUCUAAGAGAUUUUAAGAUAUGAGUUUGCACUCAAAUGGUUGAUUUUGUGUUUUAGGUGAAACAAUGGACAGACAUAACAAGAGAAGUGAACGAAAUGAUGAAGUGGCUCGAUUGGAAUUAGAGACUUUUGUUUGUGUUCUAUUACCAAACGACCAUAGUUCUUGUUAAUGUGUAAUGGUGGAGACUAGAGAGGCAAUCUUGUUUUUCUUGCUAGACAUUUGAUUUUCUGUUAAUUCAAAUAUUUUGAUGAGUUAUAUUAUAUAACUUGAGAAAAGAAAAUUAUAUAAUUUGCUAAUUUUUGAUUAGCAUUUUUAAUUAUUAAAUGUUAGUAAGUUGAUGGUAAUAUUAUUGUGAUAUAGUAAAUAUUUGUAAAUUAUGUUUACUAAUACUAUUGUUAAUGAGUCAACCCAAUAAAACCACUAACUCAUUAAUUUAAAUGGGUUAUGGUUUAACCCAAUCCAUUUAGUUAAUGGGUUGGAUUAACUCAUGAUCCAUAAACUGCUCAAUCCAUUUGGGUUUGGAUUGGAUUGGGUUGGUUUACCCAUAUUGACACCCCUAGGUUUAGGGUUUGUUUAUUUUUUGUUUAUGCAUUUAGUGCUGAGUUUUUCGAAUAAAAUUUUAUAUUAAUAUUAUUGAUUCAUAAUUUUUCUUAAAAUUUUAACGUAAUUUUUAAUGUUCUUAAAA